GAUUGAACGCUGGCGGCAUGCCUUACACAUGCAAGUCGAACGGCAGCAUGAUCUAGCUUGCUAGAUUGAUGGCGAGUGGCGAACGGGUGAGUAAUACAUCGGAACGUGCCCUGUAGUGGGGGAUAACUAGUCGAAAGAUUAGCUAAUACCGCAUACGACCUGAGGGUGAAAGUGGGGGACCGCAAGGCCUCAUGCUAUAGGAGCGGCCGAUGUCUGAUUAGCUAGUUGGUGAGGUAAAGGCUCACCAAGGCGACGAUCAGUAGCUGGUCUGAGAGGACGAUCAGCCACACUGGGACUGAGACACGGCCCAGACUCCUACGGGAGGCAGCAGUGGGGAAUUUUGGACAAUGGGGGCAACCCUGAUCCAGCAAUGCCGCGUGUGUGAAGAAGGCCUUCGGGUUGUAAAGCACUUUUGUCCGGAAAGAAAUCGCACUUACUAAUAUUAGGUGUGGAUGACGGUACCGGAAGAAUAAGGACCGGCUAACUACGUGCCAGCAGCCGCGGUAAUACGUAGGGUCCAAGCGUUAAUCGGAAUUACUGGGCGUAAAGCGUGCGCAGGCGGUUGUGCAAGACCGAUGUGAAAUCCCCGGGCUUAACCUGGGAAUUGCAUUGGUGACUGCACGGCUAGAGUGUGUCAGAGGGGGGUAGAAUUCCACGUGUAGCAGUGAAAUGCGUAGAGAUGUGGAGGAAUACCGAUGGCGAAGGCAGCCCCCUGGGAUAACACUGACGCUCAUGCACGAAAGCGUGGGGAGCAAACAGGAUUAGAUACCCUGGUAGUCCACGCCCUAAACGAUGUCAACUAGUUGUUGGGGAUUCAUUUCCUUAGUAACGUAGCUAACGCGUGAAGUUGACCGCCUGGGGAGUACGGUCGCAAGAUUAAAACUCAAAGGAAUUGACGGGGACCCGCACAAGCGGUGGAUGAUGUGGAUUAAUUCGAUGCAACGCGAAAAACCUUACCUACCCUUGACAUGCCACUAACGAAGCAGAGAUGCAUUAGGUGCUCGAAAGAGAAAGUGGACACAGGUGCUGCACGGCUGUCGUCAGCUCGUGUCGUGAGAUGUUGGGUUAAGUCCCGCAACGAGCGCAACCCUUGUCUCUAGUUGCUACGAAAGGGCACUCUAGAGAGACUGCCGGUGACAAACCGGAGGAAGGUGGGGAUGACGUCAAGUCCUCAUGGCCCUUAUGGGUAGGGCUUCACACGUCAUACAAUGGUGCAUACAGAGGGUUGCCAAGCCGCGAGGUGGAGCUAAUCCCAGAAAAUGCAUCGUAGUCCGGAUCGUAGUCUGCAACUCGACUACGUGAAGCUGGAAUCGCUAGUAAUCGCGGAUCAGCAUGCCGCGGUGAAUACGUUCCCGGGUCUUGUACUCACCGCCC
rnacentral:rRNA from 1 species